rnacentral:lncRNA from 1 species
AGAGAUGGCGGAUGGCGAGGUCUGUUCUCAUGGCCGCUGCCGCCGCCUCCAUCCAAAUCGCUGUCCUCUGCCUGACUCUCUUGUCGUCCCGGUUCUCCCCCAACCCUCCGUUGGGCCUCGGCUCCGCCCCUCAUUGUACGUUUCCUCUCGCCCCCUGGGUUGCUCCCCCGGGUAAGCUAUGUGUCUUAUGUCUUCGUCAACCCUAGCUCUUCAAUUCCACCUUUUUCUUGAUCUAUUGGAGACAUCCGACGUCCUUCCUUUUGGAUAGUAUAUGUCGAUUUUCGCAUCAAGAUUCCUUCGCUAGCGGUGGCUGGCGAUAACUCGAUCAUUCUUUCAAUUCCUUCGCUAAAUGGUGUGUUUUAUUCAACUGAUUAGCUUUGGAUCACGAAAAUAGUCUCUCUACUCACAAGAUCCGCAGAUGGCAAUUUCUUUGAAAUAACACAUAUUUUAAUCAAAUUAGGCAUUUCCAGUUGAUUUCAGCAUUUGAUUGAUUGGUAUUGUGCUUGGUGUCUUUAGGUGCUUUUCGUUGAUAUAUUAUUGACUGCGACCAUUUCUUUCGCUCCAAGAUUGUAUCUUUCUUGCACUAUACUUACUUUGUUCCUUUAUUUAAAUGAUUGUUUCUUUGAAGCAAGUGAUGUUCGAUUAAAUUAUGCAUUCUCAUUUUCUCCUCCCGUCUUCUAAUUUAAUUUUUAUGGAACCUUAAUUAAAUAGGAUUUGUAGGACUAUUGAAGUCAUUGACUGAAAUUUAUAGGAACAAAACUUAUAGGUCAUGCAUGACAGUAGAACUAAUUGUUUAUUAUUCUUCCAGCUUCAAUUUGAUGAGUUACUGAUAUGUUUUUUUAUACUUCUUCUUGUCUAAGUCCAUAAAAUGAUGUGAACAACUCAGUUCUUGUUUCAUACAAUAAUGUAUUGGCUAUACAUCUGGAGCAGUUGUAUGGAACAAGAAAUUCUAGAUUGAUAAGAAGAGCGAUUUUUAUCAAGGCCAGUUGUUCCAGCAACAUGGCACAGGCAAGGACAUUAUCAAGAAAGAAGAGGCUCUAGACUGGGUGAAAUAAGAACAAAACAAUUGAAGAAUGCUUCAUGAUGUUUAUCGUAAAAUGUCCUCUUUAUUUAUGUUUCACCUUUGUUUGAUGAUUUGUUUUGGACACAACACACUAUCACCUCUGAGUUUGUAUAUGUAAUUGGUGUCAAUUCUACAAACUUGAUUAGACGAAUGGUUUCCUUCGAUAAUGUGUUACGUGGAUUUUACGUCUUCAUGAUGUCAGUGAUGCAUUUAUUUUAGAUAUCUUAGCUGAGCUUUGCUGGUUCUUUCUAAAGACUGAUCUAAUUGGUGUUGCCUUUACAAGAUAAUUGCUAUAUUUUUGGAUUUUUUGUUUCUUAUAUUUGAGUAUGUGAAGACUUCUCAAUUUGAGGAACAAAAAGAGGCAAUUUAAAACAGUUUUUUUUGUUCUUGAACAGUUGAUUUUGCAACUUCUAGUUACUGGCCUGAAAAUUGCCUUCUAAGCUACUUUGAUUGGGACAUGAAUACGUGAAAUUUAAGCUUUAUAGUUAUUAGGCAGACCAAGUCAUGUAAUCAGCUUUAUCAAGCUUUUCAUCACAUUGAAUUCAUUUCUUGUUAGAGCAUAACAUUCUGUAGAUGUUCAACACAAACUCUGCUGAAGGCUAGAGAACUAGCACAUCAUGAUGUCCAGGUUGAAUGAAGUCUUAAUAGGAAUUUUCAUGGUUUAGCAGAAUUUUCACUCUAUGAAUCAGUAACAUCAUGCAACACUUCCUCAUUUACCGUGUGCCUGAGAACAGAGGAUCAUUUUAUUUUGCAGGUAUUUGUGGACUAUAUAGAUUUUGCUAAAGAGUUGGAGUCAUCAACCAUCUCAGAUGAACCUUUUGCCCAACUGGUUUUGUAAAACACCUAAAUCACAUCUCAGUUUGUACAUAGGUUGUUUUGCAAACCAUUUUAGUGGAAGCAAGCAACACAAAUUUGAAAUUGCAUUUAUUGGUAUUUAAGGUAAAUAUUAAACCGAUCUUGUCAUUCACAGUUAACCAUUUUUAUUAUACAAGUGCUUGAUUAUUAUUAUUUUUACAUCGCCUUCGCUAUGUUCAUAUUGGCACGGCAAUCUAGCAUUUGUCUGAUGCCUUCAAUCCAGAUUCCCUCAUCACAUUUUUUGCAUUCAAAUUCGAUUAACCUUUCUGGUGUUCUGAUCCCAAAGUAAGCCCUCUGAUCACUUCCAUCUUCCACUUCUCUUCCAGGCCAUGCUGGUAUGUUGGCGCAGACAUCAAUUACAAAACCUGCAAGAACAGGAACACAGCUUUAUCUACGUGCCAUCGGAAUCGCAGUGUGUAAGUUUUCCUACUAAUCUUACAUUUCUUCUUUUUCACAAAGGUCCCAGCCAUGUGUGUACUUUUUGUUUUGACAACCACCUGCAAUUUGUUGCACUUUCUUAGCUAACAAAAAUAUAGAUCAUGAAAAAUCUUUUAGAUUUUAGACAACUUACCUGCCAAUUGGAGUUUAUGUAUACUGAAACUUGCUUCCAAUGAAGAAUACCUGCCACAGAUGGAUAUCUCAACACGCAUUUAUUUAUAUUACUAACUUUUGACAUAAUAAUGUGGUGAUUGCAGAUUCUGCUCUAAAUAAGUGAUCUUGACAAGUUCAGAUCCUUCAUAACUAUUGUGAUUAGUGCAGUGAGGUCAAUAGUUUUGGCUGAUGAAUUCUGUAGUUGAAUUCAAAGUUCUACGAAAGAACUGUAAUUUAUACCUUUUCUUGUGCGUUUGACGAGCUCUCCACCUUUGGCUACAAAGGUGAAGGCUGAUGAGCAUCCAUCUGAUGAUUCUUUGUCGUCCCCAGCUGCUGUUGCACCUUGAAUCUCCUUGUAAAGCCUUGCCCUCAAUGUCGCUGCGCCUCGUAAGGCUGCAGUACAACAUGCCACAUCUUAGAGCUGGACUACAAGCUGUCAUAAGAGCAAUGCAUGGCUGCUCACAUGAACCUACUUCUCUUGCAUUUAGAUGUUAUAUGAUUCUGAUAGCUAGUGUUUUGCCGACUGUGUUCAUUUUUCGGAUGGCUUGAUCUGUUUGUGGAUGAACUUUUUUGUUUGGAGACCUGAAUGCUUUCUUUUGUAUUGAUCUGAGAUGUUCUUAAUGUGUGCAGACUGAGUCAGAUUGAAGCCUCCAUGAAGAACCAAUACCUGUUGCAGCUCCUGCAGUGAGCGCCAUGAUGUCGCCACUGGUCUGUGCACCAACUGCAGAGUGGACGACCUUCAAGAUCUGAUCAUGGGCGGCGCCCAUCGUCUGCGCGAU